GAGAGUUAAACAGUACGUGAAAUUGUUGAAAGGGAAACGAUUGAAGCCAGUCGUACCUUCGGGUAAUCAGCCUUUCGGGUGCGAUUCUGUGGAGUUUGAGGAGCUUAACACCUUCAUGCUUUUGCAUAUUCGUGCUCUUGGGUGUACUUGCCCGUGUGGUUGGUUAACAUCAAUUUCGGGCACCAUAAAAUGGCUGGAGGAAUGUAGCUUCGAUCUUGUAUUGAAGUGUUAUAGCCUUCGGUAGAUGUGGUGAUCGAGAUUGAGGAUUGCAACGGAUACCUUUCGGGGCUACCUGUCUGAUCUCUGAUCGUUGCUUUGGUGCUGAAAGCGUGCUUAUAGUUAUCAAAGUCGAUGGUUAAUAGGUUAGAAUGGGUUAAAUUCGUUAAGGAUGUUGACGUAAUGGCUUUAAACGA
rnacentral:rRNA from 1 species